AAGAAUCAAUAGAUUAUUUAGUGAUAAUGGUAGUAUCUUAUUCUCGUAAAGGGUUUGGACGAGACGGAUACGAUCGAAGACGUUCAGAAGGUCAAACGAUGUUACAAAGCGAAUAAGGAACGAAUCGAGUAAACGAAGCAGUGUGGCGAAUAGAGUAUAGCCAAAGAUGGUCUAGAGACUAUGAUAUGCAUAGAGUGUGAAAGUGGAAAGAUGAGAUUGAGAUAUGAGACUGGAAUCGGAUUUAAGAAAAGCUUAGAGUUGAAUUGAGAUUGCGAGUAUGGCUAAGGCUAAGCGAGGAGUCAGAGUUAUAGAAUAUCCAGAGGACAAGUGGAAUGUUCAGGGAGAUUGACAAGGUUGGUUCUAGAUAGAGUUGUAUUAUUGAGAUUCAGUUGUAAGUCAUAAUUGAGGUAGACUUGCAGUGAUUCUUCUCAUCGAAGAUGAUCUGAGUUUGUAAGAUAAUGUUUAUUAAUAGUGGUUGAUUCUAAUUUCAAUACUGUAACCUGGAUGCGAUCCUGUUUUUAGGGGGUUAAAGUGUUUUCUUUUAAAUCUUUUACUAAAGUUUUCAGGUUUUAAA